rnacentral:rRNA from 1 species
AGUGAACGCUGGCGGUAGGCCUAACACAUGCAAGUCGAACGGCAGCACAGGAGAGCUUGCUCUCUGGGUGGCGAGUGGCGGACGGGUGAGGAAUACAUCGGAAUCUACUCUGUCGUGGGGGAUAACGUAGGGAAACUUACGCUAAUACCGCAUACGACCUACGGGUGAAAGCAGGGGACCUUCGUGCCUUGCGCGAUUGAAUGAGCAGAUGUCGGAUUAGCUAGUUGGCGGGGUAAAGGCCCACCAAGGCGACGAUCCGUAGCUGGUCUGAGAGGAUGAUCAGCCACACUGGAACUGAGACACGGUCCAGACUCCUACGGGAGGCAGCAGUGGGGAAUAUCGGACAAUGGGCGCAAGCCUGAUCCAGCCAUACCGCGUGGGUGAAGAAGGCCUUCGGGUUGUAAAGCCCUUUUGUUGGGAAAGAAAUCCAGCUGGCUAAUACCCGGUUGGGAUGACGGUACCCAAAGAAUAAGCACCGGCUAACUUCGUGCCAGCAGCCGCCGUAA